rnacentral:rRNA from 1 species
CCUACGGGGUGCAGCAGUGGGGAAUAUUGCACAAUGGGGGAAACCCUGAUGCAGCGACGCCGCGUGAGUGAAGAAGUAAUUCGUUAUGUAAAGCUCCAUCAGCAGGGAAGAAAAUGACGGUACCUGAGUAAGAAGCCCCGGCUAACUACGUGCCAGCAGCCGCGGGAAUACGUAGGGGGCAAGCGUUAUCCGGAUUUACUGGGUGUAAAGGGAGCGUAGACGGCAGUGCAAGUCUGGAGGGAAAGGCGGGGGCUCAACCCCCGGACUGCUCUGGAAACUGUACGGCUUGAGUGCAGGAGAGGUAAGUGGAAUGCCUAGUGUAGCGGUGAAAUGCAUAGAUAUUAGGAGGAACACCAGUGGCGAAGGCGGCUUACUGGACUGUGACUGACGUUGAGGCUCGAAAGCGUGGGGAGCAAACAGGAUUAGAUACCCUGGUAGUC